rnacentral:rRNA from 1 species
UACGGGGGGGAGCAAGCGUUGUUCGGAUUUACUGGGCGUAAAGGGCGCGUAGGCGGCCACCGCAAGUCAGUUGUGAAAUCUCUGGGCUUAACCCAGAAAGGUCAACUGAUACUGCGGGGCUAGAGUGCAGAAGGGGCAACUGGAAUUCUCGGUGUAGCGGUGAAAUGCGUAGAUAUCUGGAGGAACACCGGUGGCGAAGGCGGCAUCCUGGACCAAUUCUGACGCUGAGUGAGCGAAAGCCAGGGGAGCAAACGGGG